UUCAGAGAGCUAUGGAGGACAUACUGAGGCUGCUGUUUCUGGCAUGCAAUCAACAUGCCCUAUACUGCUCCAUGUGGAAGCAGAUACAAAAUGCCAGAUUCCCACUAUGCACACUCCCAGUUGCGGCAUUGAGGCGCCUUGCCCAUGUAUUGGAUAGGGUGAAGGAAUUUCUUGGGCAAUGCAGUCAUAAAGAGCACUGGGAGUGGAUCGCUACAUCCAGGUAUGACAGGAGAUGGGAAGUUGUGGAACUUCUGUCAGAGCUUCAGGAAUGUGUGGACAUAAUCAACUCGGACGCAAUCCGAACGUCUUCUAAAAGAGGGAGCAGGAUCUGUAUUAUGACCUCCACAGUUUGGCAAACGAAGAUUGUGCCGAAUUGGUGAAGAAUGCAAGUUCAGAGGAGCUUGUCAAGUACUUAUCUCAAAGACAAAGUGGCUACUGUCCAAGAAUAAACAUGGAAGAUUGGCCUGGUGGUUCAAUCGAGGAGUGGUCUGAUUUGAGACUUGGUUGGCUGGGUCAGGCUGUUAUACUUGUCGAGCUCAAUUAAAGAGACGUCAGAUGAGUUGCAGAAGAGAAGGGAAAUGGAUGCUUUGAUGAGAAUCUCAAGGUGACGAAAGGGUUCUUUCCUAGGUCCAAGUUCCUCUAUUGUCCAGAUUUUUGGGUGGUGCCACUGCCACGAUACCGGGAAGCGUUACA